rnacentral:rRNA from 1 species
GGGUGCGAUCAUACCAGCGUUAAUGCACCGCAUCCCAUCAGAACUCUGCGCGUGCUUGGGCUAGAGUAGUACUGGGAUGGGUGACCUCCCGAGAAGUCCUAGUGUUGCACCCU